UACGGAGGGAGCAAGCGUUACUCGGAAUUAUUGGGCGUAAAGGGCGCGUAGGCGAUCUGACAAGUCUGGUGUGAAAGCCCACAUGUUAACUGUGGAAGUGCAUUAGAAACUGUUGGAUUUGAGUUCAGGAGAGGAAGGCAGAAUUCCCGGUGUAGCGGUGAAAUGCGUAGAGAUCGGGAGGAAUACCAGUGGCGAAGGCGGCCUUCUGGACGGAUACUGACGCUGAGGCGCGAAAGCCAGGGGAGCAAACGGG
rnacentral:rRNA from 1 species